rnacentral:rRNA from 1 species
UACAGAGGUCUCAAGCGUUGUUCGGAUUCAUUGGGCGUAAAGGGUGCGUAGGUGGCGCCGUAAGUCGGGUGUGAAAUUUCGGAGCUUAACUCCGAAACUGCAUUCGAUACUGCGGUGCUUGAGGACUGGAGAGGAGACUGGAAUUUACGGUGUAGCAGUGAAAUGCGUAGAUAUCGUAAGGAAGACCAGUGGCGAAGGCGAGUCUCUGGACAGUUACUGACGCUGAGCACGAAGGCCAGGGGAGCAAACGGG